UCAAUUUACUCACUAGAAAUUGAUAGUGUUGUGCCAUCAAUUUUGUAAACGCAACAGCUAUUUGAAGAUCACUUAACUCGUGGAAGAAUAAUGACCCCUUUAAAAUGAUGAUAGCCCUGUGCUUCUUGAUGUUUGCAUAUAUAUCUGAUGAAUUUCUUUCUUAUAUUGCGUUAAGAAGCAAAUUGUUGCCACUUUUGGAUUUUGUUUUCAUGUGCUUCCUACUGUACACAUUUCUUUAUUUCUUUUUGAGAAAAUGGUCUAUUACCCCCACCCACCCCCAAUCUAUAGUCGAAAUUCUAACUACAUACUCAAUCUUCACGGAAGUUUCAUUACCCCCUAAACAUUUUUUUUACUGUAUUUAGUACCACCCCCUCCCCCAAUUGCUGACCUGUCAUGGGAGAUGAGAACACCCCCAGUACGCGCGUUAAUUGAGGCCUUAACACUUCAAAUUCAUUAUUUUAAAUGCCAUGUCAUUAUUUUUAAUUUUAUAGUAAUGUUAUCUUCUCCAAUUAAUAAAGAGAAACUCCAACAGUAAUUUUACAACUCCAAACGCCAUCUUUCUCAUGCAAGCCUUCAUCUGCUCCAUUUUUUUUCAAUUUCUCUGAAAAGAACUUAGAGUUAAUCCUAAUUUCUUGUUCAACUCUUGAAGUUGUGAUUUGUAAUCAUGUCCAAUUUUAGGGUUCAUAAUUUGUUGAUUGAUUUUGUCGAAAUUCUUCAAAUGGCAAAUGCGGAAUUGAAUAAGCUUUGUAUGGAUGAAUCAAACCUACUGUUCAAUGUUGUAGUGAGAUGCAAAAAUGGAAUUUUGCUGAACUUGCAAACUUCAUGGUCAAAAUCAAAUCUGGGAAGAAGAUUUUGGUUUUGUCCCUACUAUGGUGUUCAAAUUGUAAUCUUUUUCUAUGGAGGAUAAAGAAAAAGUCGAUCCAAGAUCAAAUUUAUCCUUUCAAGAUUAGUGAACAAAAUCAAAGAGUUAGAAUAAGAUUUGUGGCUUAAAUAGGUCCAAAUUGACAAGUUGACUUUGGAGAGGAGACUCAAUGGAAGAUGAAAAUGGUGUAUGUUUAAUAGGAAGACAUUUUUUUGUAUUUUGAUUUGUAUUGUUGCCAUGUUCAUCGGCAAUAAAUCUGUUGAAAGUAGUUAAUUGAUUGUUUAUGGUGUAAAUUUUGUAUAUCUACCUAUAUAUAUCGGAUUAUGGUAUGUUAUGGUGUUUUA